rnacentral:rRNA from 1 species
UACGUAGGGUGCGAGCGUUAAUCGGAAUUACUGGGCGUAAAGCGUGCGUAGGCGGUUCGUUAAGUCAGCUGUGAAAUCCCCGGGCUCAACCUGGGAACUGCAUUUGUGACUGCAUGGCUAGAGUACGGUAGAGGGGGAUGGAAUUCCGCGUGUAGCAGUGAAAUGCGUAGAUAUGCGGAGGAACACCGAUGGCGAAGGCAAUCCCCCGGACCUGUACUGACGCUCAUGCACGAAAGCGUGGGGAGCAAACAGG